rnacentral:rRNA from 1 species
CCUACGGGUGGCAGCAGUGGGGAAUAUUGGACAAUGGGCGAAAGCCUGAUCCAGCCAUGCCGCGUGUGUGAAGAAGGCCUUCGGGUUGUAAAGCACUUUCAGUGGGGAAGAAAGCCUUGGGGCUAAUACCCUCGAGGAAGGACAUCACCCACAGAAGAAGCACCGGCUAACUCCGUGCCAGCAGCCGCGGUAAUACGGAGGGUGCGAGCGUUAAUCGGAAUUACUGGGCGUAAAGCGCGCGUAGGCGGUCUGAUAAGCCGGUUGUGAAAGCCCCGGGCUCAACCUGGGAACGGCAUCCGGAACUGUCAGGCUAGAGUGCAGGAGAGGAAGGUAGAAUUCCCGGUGUAGCGGUGAAAUGCGUAGAGAUCGGGAGGAAUACCAGUGGCGAAGGCGGCCUUCUGGACUGACACUGACGCUGAGGUGCGAAAGCGUGGGUAGCAAACAGGAUUAGAUACACGGGUAGUC